CGCGUAGGCGGUCCAGCAAGUUGGAAGUGAAAUCCCGGGGCUUAACCUCGGAACUGCUUUCAAAACUGCUAGACUAGAGAAUGGUAGGGGACAGUGGAAUUCCUAGUGUAGAGGUGAAAUUCGUAGAUAUUAGGAGGAACACCAGAGGCGAAGGCGACUGUCUGGACCAUUUCUGACGCUAAGGCGCGAAAGCGUGGGGAGCAAACA
rnacentral:rRNA from 1 species